UACGUAGGUGGCAAGCGUUGUCCGGAAUAAUUGGGCGUAAAGCGCGCGCAGGCGGUCCCUUAAGUCUGAUGUGAAAGCCCACGGCUCAACCGUGGAGGGUCAUUGGAAACUGGGGGACUUGAGUGCAGAAGAGGAAAGUGGAAUUCCAUGUGUAGCGGUGAAAUGCGUAGAGAUGUGGAGGAACACCAGUGGCGAAGGCGACUUUCUGGUCUGUAACUGACGCUGAGGCGCGAAAGCGUGGGGAGCAAACAGG
rnacentral:rRNA from 1 species